rnacentral:lncRNA from 1 species
GAAGUGGUUGGAACUUGGUUGGAAGGUGCGAGCAGGAGUGACACGGGAUUAAAUAGGAAAAUAUGGCUGAGGAGAAUUAGUUACUUGUUUGUUUAGAAAUUCUGAAUUAAAGUUACAUCCUCAAUCAUAAGUGGUAGGGUUGCAUGUCUUGAGUUACUACAUGAUGUACUAUUGUAGCCGUAAUGAUUUCUGCCAUCAAAAUUUUGAUCUUGCACUCAAGAAACUGCAGAGGAACUGAAACAUUAGGAAUCAUCAUUCGAUAUGCAAGAGGUGACAGCGAUUUAUUUUUGGAGACACCACCUGAUGACCAGUUC